rnacentral:tRNA from 1 species
GCACAGGUGCCGGAGUGGCCAAUCGGAACAGACUGUAAAUCUGUCGUCUUCACUGACUACGAAGGUUCGAAUCCUUCCCUGUGCA